GACGAACCGUCCAAACGUUAUUCGGAAUCACUGGGCUUACAGAGUUCGUAGGCGGUCUGGAAAGUUGGGUGUGAAAUCCCUCGGCCUAACCGAGGAACUGCGCUUGAAACUACCAGACUCGAGGGGGAUAGAGGAAAGCGGAACUGAUGGUGGAGCGGUGAAAUGCGUUGAUAUCAUCAGGAACACCGGUGGCGAAGGCGGCUUUCUGGGUCUUACCUGACGCUGAGGAACGAAAGCGUGGGGAGCAAACAGG
rnacentral:rRNA from 1 species